GAAUGCAGGCUCUUGAAGAAGGACGAAGUAGUAAGCUGUGGUGAAUCGCUGACAUUUAGCGCUUAUCUUAUUGACAUCCUCGAUGCCCGGGAAGGUCAUAAGCCUAUAACUGAUUUGAAUUCACAAGGAAGAAAUAUGAAAAUCACCGGGAAACCUAGUUUGAUGCAUCGACAAAAGUUUAGGAACCGUUCGGUUUCUUCUGAUAGACAGAAUUAUGAGGAGAAGAAUAACAAAGCAUGGAAAACUUUGAGCCCGUCACGCAAAAUCAUCAGAGAGUUUAAGAAGAGCGAAGCGCAGAAGUACCCAGCACCGC